GCGGCGUGCUUAACACAUGCAAGUCGAACGGUGAAGCCCAGCUUGCUGGGUGGAUCAGUGGCGAACGGGUGAGUAACACGUGAGCAACCUGCCCCUGACUCUGGGAUAAGCGCUGGAAACGGCGUCUAAUACUGGAUACGAGUAGCGACCGCAUGGUCAGUUACUGGAAAGAUUUAUUGGUUGGGGAUGGGCUCGCGGCCUAUCAGCUUGUUGGUGAGGUAAUGGCUCACCAAGGCGUCGACGGGUAGCCGGCCUGAGAGGGUGACCGGCCACACUGGGACUGAGACACGGCCCAGACUCCUACGGGAGGCAGCAGUGGGGAAUAUUGCACAAUGGGCGCAAGCCUGAUGCAGCAACGCCGCGUGAGGGAUGACGGCCUUCGGGUUGUAAACCUCUUUUAGCAGGGAAGAAGCGAAAGUGACGGUACCUGCAGAAAAAGCGCCGGCUAACUACGUGCCAGCAGCCGCGGUAAUACGUAGGGCGCAAGCGUUAUCCGGAAUUAUUGGGCGUAAAGAGCUCGUAGGCGGUUUGUCGCGUCUGCUGUGAAAUCCGGAGGCUCAACCUCCGGCCUGCAGUGGGUACGGGCAGACUAGAGUGCGGUAGGGGAGAUUGGAAUUCCUGGUGUAGCGGUGGAAUGCGCAGAUAUCAGGAGGAACACCGAUGGCGAAGGCAGAUCUCUGGGCCGUAACUGACGCUGAGGAGCGAAAGGGUGGGGAGCA
rnacentral:rRNA from 1 species